AACUCGACUCCAUGAAGCUGGAUUCGCUAGUAAUCGCGCAUCAGCCAUGGCGCGGUGAAUACGUUCCCGGGCCUUGUACACACCGCCCGUCAAGCCAUGGAAGCCGGGAGUGCCUGAAGUGUGCAACCGCAAGGAGCGCCCUAAGGUAAAACUGGUGACUGGGGCUAAGUCGUAACAAGGUAUC
rnacentral:rRNA from 1 species